GCUCAUUCAGUUCCCUUUAAAUAAAUACCUUUCAGCUGGCACCAGCCACUGGGCUGGUUUUUCUGUUCCCUGCAAAUGUGGGUGCAGAGGGGUGCAGCACCUUUCCUUGGCGUCUGAAAGCAGUGGGUGGAGGACACACUGGCACUGCUAUUUGCAUCCCCAGCACUGCUGAUUCCUGCAAGCAACUGAGAAGGAGCCGUGUUAGCACCUCGCCCAUCUCUCUGGAGGGCUGUGUGAUGCCGUGAACAAAAUGCUUCUGGAUGUGUUUCCCGAUCAAAUCCCAGUGGGUUUGAUAUCGCGACAUUAAAUAUAGGUGUUGAGAUUCUCCCCUCGCAUGCCAAGCAGCAGAGACACGCAGACAUCUCAUCACAUCCCAGCUCGCUCGCUGCCCUCAGGGGAUGAAAUCUGCUCCCCUGCCCCAUCUGGUCCCAGGGAAGAAGGCUGGGCUGGGGCGUGCAGAGCACAGGACACGGGGUCCUCCAGCCAAUUGCUAGCAUGGAGUGCAGAGGAUCUGUUUCAGAUCGCAUCCGGUCCUCCGGUUGAGUGCGGGAGCCUCGCCACGGUGCGCGCUGUGCGCGCUAGAGGGAGCCACGGAAAAACCGAUGCUGCGAGUGCCGCCCUGCUCCCCAGCCGCUCCCACGCUCCUCCCUCGGAAACCCGGGGGUCUUUCAGCAGCAAAGCCCCGCUGGGGCUGCUGCAGGAGCAGUUCUGUUGGAAGCGAAGCGCGCCGUUUGGCUACGCUGAUGUUUGUCCGAGUUUUGGCUUCUGUUUCCCCAGCAUCAAGACGUCGCGUUUUGAGCGCCUCCAAGCUCCCCGCUCCUUUUUGGUGUUACCUGUGCUCCUGCUGCGCACCCGCAUGCCGUGCGCACGCGGGAAAUGCUUUGGUGCACCAUAG
rnacentral:lncRNA from 1 species